AUCACUAAGCGGAGGAAAAGAAACUAACAAGGAUUCCCCUAGUAACGGCGAGUGAAGGGGAAGAGCCCAUCGCCGAAUCCUUCGGUCCCUGGCCGACGGACUUGUGGCGUAUAGGAUUUACUCUGCUGCAACGUUCUGGCUUCCGAGUCCUCCUGAUCGGGGCCUUACCCAUGGCGGGUGUCAGGCCUCUACUGGAGCCGGACGUUGUCGCUAUGUAGCUCCUCGGAGUCGGGUUGUUUGAGAAUGCAGCCCAAAGCGGGUGGUAAACUCCAUCUAAGGCUAAAUACUGACACGAGUCCGAUAGCGGACAAGUACCGUGAGGGAAAGUU
rnacentral:rRNA from 1 species